AUUCUUGGAUUUCUGGUGGAGACCAUUUCUUGGUCAAAAAUCCGUAGGUGUUAGCCUUCGGUAUUAUUGAAAAUGGUCGUUCAUGGCUAUUUUCGAUAAAAAUGGGGGUUGUGUGGCCAUUGAUCAUCGACCAGACGCUCAUACACCUCACCCCACAUAUGUUUCCUUAUCAUAGAUCACAUUCUUGGAUUUCUGGUGGAGACCAUUUCUUGGUCUAAAAUCCAUAGGUGUUAGCCUCUAGUAUUAUUGAAAAUGGUCGCUCAGGGCUAUUUUCAAGGUCGCUCAUGGCUAUUUUCAUAAAAAAUGGGGGUUGUGUGGCCAUUUAUCAUCGACUAGAGGCUCAUAAACCUCGCCCCACAUAUGUUUCCUUGCCAUAGAUCACAUUCUUGGAUUUCUGGUGGAGACCAUUUCUUGGUUAAAAACUCGUACGUGUUAGCCUUCGGUAUUAUUGAAAAUGGUCGUUCAUGGCUAUUUUCGGCAAAAUGGGGGUUGUGUGACCAUUCAUUAUCGACCAGAGGCUCGUACACCUCACCCCACAUAUGUUUCCUUGCCAUAGAUCACAUUCUUGGAUUUCUGGUGGAGACCAUUUCUUGGUCAAAAAUCCGUACGUGUUAGCCUUUGGUAUUUUUGAAAAUGGUCAUUCAUGGCUAUUUUCGACAAAAAUGGGGGUUGUGUGGCCAUUGAUCUUCGACCAGAGGCUCAUACACCUCACUACACAUAUGUUUCCUUGCCAUAGAUCACAUUCUUGGAUUUAUGGUGGAGACCAUUUCUUGGUCAAAAAUCCGUAGGUGUUAGCCUUCAGUGUCAUUGAAAAUGGUCGUUCAUGGCUAUUUUCGACAAAAAUUAGGGUUGUGUGGCCAUUGAUCGUCGACCAGAGGCUCAUACACCUCACCCCACAUAUGUUUCCUUGCCAUAGAUCACAUUCUUGGAUUUCUGGUGGAGACCAUUUCUUGGUCAAAAAUCCGUAGGUGUUAGCCUUCGGUAUUAUUGAAAAUGGUCGUUCAUGGCUAUUUUCGACAAAAAUGGGGGUUGUGUGGCCAUUGAUCAUCGACCAGACGCUCAUACACCUCACCCCACAUAUGUUUCCUUGCCAUAGAUCACAUUCUUGGAUUUCUGGUGGAGACCAUUUCUUGUUCUAAAAUCCGUAGGUGUUAGCCUCUAGUAUUAUUGAAAAUGGUCGCUCAUGGCUAUUUUCAAGGUCGCUCAUGGCUAUUUUCAUAAAAAAUGGGGGUUGUGUGGCCAUUUAUCAUCGACUAGAGGCUCAUAAACCUCACCCCACAUAUGUUUCCUUGCCAUAGAUUACAUUCUUGGAUUUCUGGUGGAAACCAUUUCUUGGUUAAAAACUCGUACGUGUUAGCCUUCGGUAUUAUUGAAAAUGGUCAUUCAUGGCUAUUUUCGGCAAAAUGGGGGUUGUGUGGCCAUUGAUCAUCAACCAGAGGCUCGUACACCUCACCCCACAUAUGUUUCCUUGCCAUAGAUCACAUUCUUGGAUUUCUGGUGGAGACCAUUUCUUGGUUAAAAAUCCGUACGUGUUAGCCUUUGGUAUUUUUGAAAAUGGUCAUUCAUGGCUAUUUUCGACAAAAAUGGGGGUUGUGUGGCCAUUGAUCAUCGACUAGAGGCUCAUACACCUCACCCCACAUAUGUUUCCUUGCCAUAGAUCACAUUCUUGGAUUUCUGGUGCAGACAUUUCUUGGUCAAAAAUCCGUAGGUGUUAGCCUUCGGUAUUAUUGAAAAUGGUCGUUCAUGGCUAUUUUCGACAAAAAUGGGGGUUGUGUGGCCAUUGAUCAUCGACCAGACGCUCAUACACCUCACCCCACAUAUGUUUCCUUGCCAUAGAUCACAUUCUUGGAUUUCUGGUGGAGACCAUUUCUUGGUCUAAAAUCCGUAGGUGUAACCUCUAGUAUUAUUGAAAAUGGUCGCUCAUGGCUAUUUUCAAGGUCGCUCAUGGCUAUUUUCAUAAAAAAUGGGGGUUGUGUGGCCAUUUAUCAUCGACUAGAGGCUCAUAAACCUCACCCCACAUAUGUUUCCUUGCCAUAGAUUACAUUCUUGGAUUUCUGGUGGAAACCAUUUCUUGGUUAAAAACUCGUACGUGUUAGCCUUCGGUAUUAUUGAAAAUGGUCAUUCAUGGCUAUUUUCGGCAAAAUGGGGGUUGUGUGGCCAUUGAUCAUCGACCAGAGGCUCAUACACCUCACCCCACAUAUGUUUCCUUGCCAUAGAUCACAUUCUUGGAUUUCUGGUGGAGACCAUUUCUUGGUCGAAAAUCCGUAGGUGUUAGCCUUCGGUAUUAUUGAAAAUGGUCGUUCAUGGCUAUUUUCGACAAAAAUGGGGGUUGUGUGGCCAUUGAUCAUCGACUAGAGGCUCAUACACCUCACCCCACAUAUGUUUCCUUGCCAUAGAUCACAUUCUUGGAUUUCUGGUGGAGACCAUUUCUUGGUCAAAAAUCCGUAGGUGUUAGCCUUCGGUAUUAUUGAAAAUGGUCGUUCAUGGCUAUUUUUGACAAAAAUGGGGGUGUGUGGCCAUUGAUCAUCGACCAGAUGCUCAUACACCUCACCCCACAUAUGUUUCCUUGCCAUAGAUCACAUUCUUGGAUUUCUGGUGGAGACCAUUUCUUGGUCUAAAAUCCGUAGGUCUUAGCCUCUAGUAUUAUUGAAAAUGGUCGCUCAUGGAUAUUUUCAUAAAAAAUGGGGGUUGUGUGGCCAUUUAUCAUCACCUAGAGGCUCAUAAACCUCACCCCACAUAUGUUUCCUUGCCAUAGAUCACAUUCUUGGAUUUCUAGUGGAGACCAUUUCUUGGUUAAAAACUCGUACGUGUUAGCCUUCGGUAUUAUUGAAAAUGGUCGUUCAUGGCUAUUUUCGGCAAAAUGGGGGUUGUGUGGCCAUUGAUCAUCGACCAGAGGAUCAUACACCUCACCCCACAUAUGUUUCCUUGCCAUAGAUCACAUUCUUGGAUUCCUGGUGGAGACCAUUUCUUGGUCAAAAAUCCAUACGUGUUAGCCUUUGGUAUUUUUGAAAAUGGUCAUUCAUGGCUAUUUUCGACAAAAAUGGGGGUUGUGUGGCCAUUGAUCAUCGACUAGAGGCUCAUACACCUCACCCCACAUAUGUUUCCUUGCCAUAGAUCACAUUCUUGGAUUUCUGGUGGAGACCAUUUCUUGGUCAAAAAUCCGUAGGUGUUAGCCUUCGGUAUUAUUGAAAAUGGUCGUUCAUGGCUAUUUUCGACAAAAAUGGGGGUUGUGUGGCCAUUGAUCAUCGACCAGACGCUCAUACACCUCACCCCACAUUUGUUUCCUUGCCAUAGAUCACAUUCUUGGAUUUCUGGUGGAGACCAUUUCUUGGUCUAAAAUCCGUAGGUGUUAGCCUCUAGUAUUAUUGAAAAUGGUCGCUCAUGGCUAUUUUCAAGGUCGCUCAUGGCUAUUUUCAUAAAAAAUGGGGGUUGUGUGGCCAUUUAUCAUCGACUAGAGGCUCAUAAACCUCACCCCACAUAUGUUUCCUUGCCAUAGAUUACAUUCUUGGAUUUCUGGUGGAAACCAUUUCUUGGUUAAAAACGCGUACGUGUUAGCCUUCGGUAUUAUUGAAAAUGGUCAUUCAUGGCUAUUUUCGGCAAAAUGGGGGUUGUGUGGCCAUUGAUCGUCGACCAGAGGCUCAUACACCUCACCCCACAUAUGUUUCCUUGUCGUAGAUCACAUUCUUGGAUUUCUGGUGGAGACCAUUUCUUGGUCAAAAAACCGUAGGUGUUAGCCUUCGAUAUUAUUGAAAAUGGUCGUUCAUGGCUAUUUUCGACAAAAAUGGGGGUUGUGUGGCCAUUGAUCAUCGACCAGAGGCUCAUACACCUCACCCCACAUAUGUUUCCUUGCCAUAGAUCACAUUCUUGGAUUUCUGGUGGAGACCAUUUCUUGGUCAAAAACUCGUACGUGUUAGCCUUCGGUAUUAUUGAAAAUGGUCGUUCAUGGCUAUUUUUGGCAAAAUGGGGGUUCUGUGGCCAUUGAUCUUCGACCAGAGGCUCGUACACCUCACCCCACAUAUGUUUCCUUGCCAUAGAUCACAUUCUUGGAUUUCUGGUGGAGACCAUUUCUUGGUCAAAAAUCCGUAGGUGUUAGCCUUCGGUAUUAUUGAAAAUUGUCGUUCAUGGCUAUUUUCGGCAAAAUGGGGGUUCUGUGGCCAUUGAUCAUCGACCAGAGGCUCGUACACCUCACCCCACAUAUGUUUCCUUGCCAUAGAUCACAUUCUUGGAUUUCUGGUGGAGACCAUUUCUUGGUCAAAAAUCCGUAGGUGUUAGCCUUCGGUAUUAUUGAAAAUGGUCGUUCAUGGCUAUUUUCGACAAAAAUGGGGGUUGUGUGGCCAUUGAUCAUCGACCAGAGGCUCAUACACCUCACCCCACAUAUGUUUCCUCGCCAUAGAUCACAUUCUUGGAUUUCUGGUGGAGACCAUUUCUUGGUCAAAAAUCCGUAGGUCUUAGCCUCUAAUAUUAUUGAAAAUGGUCGCUCAUGGCUAUUUUCGGCAAAAUGGGGGUUCUGUGGCCAUUGAUCGUCGACCAGAGGCUCAUACACCUCACCCCACAUAUGUUUCCUUGUCGUAGAUCACAUU
rnacentral:lncRNA from 1 species